rnacentral:rRNA from 1 species
GAUGAACGCUGGCGGCGUGCCUAAUACAUGCAAGUCGAGCGAACGGACGAGAAGCUUGCUGCUCUGAUGUUAGCGGCGGACGGGUGAGUAACACGUGGAUAACCUACCUAUAAGACUGGGAUAACUUCGGGAAACCGUAGCUAAUCCCGGAUAAUAUUUUGAACCGCGUGGUUCAAAAGUGAAAGACGGUCUUGCUGUCACUUAUAGAUGGAUCCGCGCUGCAUGAGCUAGUUGGUAAGGUAACGGCCUACCAAGGCAACGAGGCGUAGCCGACGUGAGAGGGGGAUAGGCCACAUUGGAAGGUGAACACGGUCCUGACGCCUACGGGAGGCAGCAGUAGGGAACCUUCCGCAAUGGGCGAAAGCCUGACGGAGCAAGGCCGCGUGAGUUAUGGAGGCGUCCGGUUCGUAAAACUCUGUUAUGAGGUAUGAACAGAUGUGGAAGGAAACGUGCAGAGCUUGACGGUACCUAAUCAGAAAGCCACGGCUAACUACGUG